GUGAGGAAUAUUGGUCAAUGGGCGGGAGCCUGAACCAACCAAGUCGCGUGAAGGAAGAAGGAUCUAUGGUUCGUAAACUUCUUUUGCAGGGGAAUAAAGUGCAGGACGUGUCCUGUUUUGUAUGUACCCUGAGAAUAAGGAUCGGCUAACUCCGUGCCAGCAGCCGCGGUAAUACGGAGGAUCCGAGCGUUAUCCGGAUUUAUUGGGUUUAAAGGGUGAGUAGGUGGUUUGAUAAGUCAGCGGUGAAAGUUUGCAGCUUAACUGUAAAAAUGCCGUUGAAACUGUCGGACUUGAGUGUAAAUGAGGUAGGCGGAAUGCGUGGUGUAGCGGUGAAAUGCAUAGAUAUCACGCAGAACUCCGAUUGCGAAGGCAGCUUACUAAGCUACAACUGACACUGAAGCACGAAAGCGUGGGGAUCAAACAGGAUUAGAUACCCGUGUAGUCC
rnacentral:rRNA from 1 species